rnacentral:misc_RNA from 1 species
GGCGUAGCCCCUGCCUCCUCCGCGUCUCCCUUGGAUGGCCAGCCGGUUUCCGAUAUGUGAAUCGGUAGCUUCUUGUAACCUAAGGAUGAUAAAGCAGAGUAAACGGCGUCGAUCUGAGCGAACAGCAUGUUAUCGUAGUGGAGAUUCGAGGCUGGAUCUACAAUGCCUUGGUUGGGCUGGAAAAGAACGAAAUCUAAACUCACUUGCUUCGGAUUCCCCUUGUAUGCGAAGUAAGGGUAAGCGUUGAUCAAGAAAGGAGAGCCAGUUUUCGCGUGGAAAUUUAAGAUAGGAGUCACACAACCGACCAGAUCUCGCCGGAAAGCUCCGGCCGAUGGAGGAUAAGAGGUCUCGAGAAUGGCUAGAGAGUGAGCCGUGGUCACACUCACCUGCUUGUCUAGUCCAAGAUUCACAAGCGCAGUGUGGACACUUUGCAUUGCAGGAAGGAGGUCAUCGCUGAGAGAGGUGUCGUUGAAAG